AUGGAGGAGGGACCCUGGGCUUUCAAAGGUAAAGCGGUGGUGUUAGCACAUUAUGAUGGCUUCACUAAGCCGUCCACGAUAGAGCUUAACAAAAUAUAUAUAUGGAUCCAGAUCCAUGAUUUUCCAGAAGGCUAUUUCCCCAAGAUCAAGGCUCUGUCGUCGACAGUCGGCGAGUUCAUCUAUGCCGAGCCAAAAUCACAGGAUUUUGAAGGCAAUUUUGUUCGUGUCAGGGUAAGGAUUGAUGUUACCAAACCGCUGAAAAAUGUUGUAUCGUUAGUGAUCAAAAAGAAGGAUAUUGUUCAGCGAGUAAUUUUCAGAGUGAAGUAUGAGCGGCUCCCUGAUUGGUGUGCAGUCUGUGGAUAUUUAGGGCAUCUUUUCAAGGAGUGUGGGGACGGAGUUCACUCUCCCAAAGCACUAGUUUUCAAAGAUCUAAGGGCGACAUGGUUCAGGGGUCCAGGAAGAGGCCCGGGGGAAGAAACCCUCGAUUCAGCCACUCUGGAAACGAUCGCGUGUCGCGAGGCACUGGCGCUGGCGGAGGACCUCAAUAUCAGAGAUUUUGUUAUUGCUUCAGAUUGCCGACAGGUGAUUCAGGACAUCAACACGGGUCUGCAUAUAGUUGCUGGAGCUAGCACUUCGGUACUACUCGGCGCCGACACUCUAUGCCCGAUUCUCACACGACACAUGAUCCAGCGGCUGUGCUACACUUGGUCUUGCCAUAAUGAUUGCUUUGGACAAACUGACUGCUUUCGAUGA
rnacentral:rRNA from 1 species